GACGAACGCUGGCGGCGUGCCUAAUACAUGCAAGUAGAACGCUGAAGGAGGAGCUUGCUCUUCUGGAUGAGUUGCGAACGGGUGAGUAACGCGUAGGUAACCUGCCUGGUAGCGGGGGAUAACUAUUGGAAACGAUAGCUAAUACCGCAUAACAGUAGAUGUUGCAUGGCAUUUACUUAAAAGGUGCAAUUGCAUCACUACCAGAUGGACCUGCGUUGUAUUAGCUAGUUGGUGGGGUAACGGCUCACCAAGGCGACGAUACAUAGCCGACCUGAGAGGGUGAUCGGCCACACUGGGACUGAGACACGGCCCAGACUCCUACGGGAGGCAGCAGUAGGGAAUCUUCGGCAAUGGACGGAAGUCUGACCGAGCAACGCCGCGUGAGUGAAGAAGGUUUUCGGAUCGUAAAGCUCUGUUGUAAGAGAAGAACGAGUGUGAGAGUGGAAAGUUCACACUGUGACGGUAGCUUACCAGAAAGGGACGGCUAACUACGUG
rnacentral:rRNA from 1 species